UACGGGGGGAGCAAGCGUUGUUCGGAUUUACUGGGCGUAAAGGGCGCGUAGGCGGCCACCGCAAGUCGGUUGUGAAAUCUCCGGGCUUAACCCGGGAAAGGUCAAUCGAUACUGCGGGGCUAGAGUGCAGAAGGGGGCAACUGGAAUUCUCGGUGUAGCGGUGAAAUGCGUAGAUAUCUGGAGGAAUACCGGUGGCGAAGGCGGCAUCCUGGACCGACAUUGACGCUGAUGAGCGAAAAGCUAGGGGAGCAAACGGG
rnacentral:rRNA from 1 species